rnacentral:rRNA from 1 species
UGGGGAAUUUUGGACAAUGGGCGAAAGCCUGAUCCAGCAAUGCCGCGUGUGUGAAGAAGGCCUUCGGGUUGUAAAGCACUUUUGUCCGGAAAGAAAUCCUUGGCUCUAAUACAGUCGGGGGAUGACGGUACCGGAAGAAUAAGCACCGGCUAACUACGUGCCAGCAGCCGCGGUAAUACGUAGGGUGCAAGCGUUAAUCGGAAUUACUGGGCGUAAAGCGUGCGCAGGCGGUUUGCUAAGACCGAUGUGAAAUCCCCGGGCUCAACCUGGGAACUGCAUUGGUGACUGGCAGGCUAGAGUAUGGCAGAGGGGGGUAGAAUUCCACGUGUAGCAGUGAAAUGCGUAGAGAUGUGGAGGAAUACCGAUGGCGAAGGCAGCCCCCUGGGCCAAUACUGACGCUCAUGCACGAAAGCGUGGGGAGCAAACAGGAUUAGAUACCCUGGUAGUCCACGCCCUAAACGAUGUCAACUAGUUGUUGGGGAUUCAUUUCCUUAGUAACGUAGCUAACGCGUGAAGUUGACCGCCUGGGGAGUACGGUCGCAAAGAUUAAAACUUAAAGGAAUUGACGGGGUCAUAGCUGUUUCCU